CACAGGAAUGGAAACUGGAAGGGCAUCAAAGUUCUCACCAGAAACCCUGAACGGAAUACCAUGGAGAAAUAGAAAUGCCUUCAGGAUCUGGAGGUAAAUGAUUUUAUACCAAACAAUCAGCCAAAGGUGAAGGGAAAAUAAAAACACUUUCAGACAGGCAAGAGUCAAAACUCAGAAUCAUGAAAGAAGAAGCCACAGCCUCUGGAUUAGGGACCCCAGCCCAAGAAAAGGGCAAAGGGGGUCUCAGAGCAGACCGGAGAGGAGGAAACCAGACCGAGCCCACCUGGACAGAAGGGGGGACCGGGCGAGAAGAGCCCGUAGAGGGAGUGGCCUGUGUGAAUAAUGACAGACAUUGCCAGACCUCUGGCAGAUCCUGCAAAGAGACCGGGACAAAUCGCAGGUCUUGCUAUGCAUUCCAGGCUGGCCUUGAAUUCAUGGCAUUCCUCCUGCCUCAGCCUCCCCAGCGCUGGGAAUACAGGUGUGUAUCACCCUGUCCAGCUCUAAAAAAUGCUUUUAAUGGAGAGGCCAUGAAGCUAAGAUGGCCCCAGCCUUUCAGCUCCUCAGAGUCAGACAGCACCCAGAUGUAAACAAUCAAAACCAGAGGUGGAAGCAAUCGGAAACCACCAAGCCACCUCUACUCGGGGACUGUCCACAGAUCAGACCCAGUAAGGCAAAGUUCCACUCAGGAGCUCAUGCAGGGUUUUCUCUCUUCUGCUCCCUAGCUUGGCUGCUAUAGCCCAGCCCUGGACCUCUUCUGAUUCUGGGUGCUGCCUGAUACCUGAAUCAUUCUGCCCUCAAAUUAACUCUGUUGAGUUUAUUUUGUCUAAAGUAUGUUGCUGUUGUUGUUAAUACCUUAUCUGUAAACUGGAAACAACUACACGAACUUCACCCAGUCCACAAGAAUUAAAUGAAAAAUCACAACUGAAUCACUUAGCAAAGUA